GAUCAAUUAAGCAUCUAACUUUUUAUUUGAUUUAUUCUUAUUGUGCUAAAUGUCUAUUUAUUGUUUACUCGGCAUAAGUUUCCCAUCAGUCCUGGUGGGAGCCUCCCAGUCGACUCUACAUCCACUUCUAGAUUAUGACCAGUUCAAUAUGAAAUGAGAUCAAGAAAAGUCAUCACAUACUCGGGACAAAGAUGUGGUGGUGUCAGUUAGGUUAGGUUAGGUUAGGUAGGUAAUGCCACGAUGAAAACUUCCAUCGAUAACCAAAAGGAGAAGGAAGCAGCAGCCAACAAAAAAAAGGGAAGCGUCGCACGAUACACCUUUUAACAUUUACAUCCUAUCCCGUGUCCGUCCCUAGUUAAGCCAACGACUAAAAAUUGGCAGUAACCUCAUUGAAGGUAAUCAUAUCUUUUUGGCCGACUUACAUUGGAACCCACAACUGGAGGCCUAAGCGGUUGACCGAGUUUAUCGUAUUGGACAAAAAAACCCGUUCAAUUACAUCGCUUUGUAACAAGAGGAACUGUGGAAGAAGGUCUAGUCAAAAUUCAAGUGAAGAAGUUGAGAUUAGCUACCGAAGUUCUCUCGGGAGAUUUAAGUAGUGGAAAGUUAUCUAUUGAUAACUUGAACGAAAUUUUCGGAUGUGUCAUCAUCCAUCGACAAACUCUAAAGCAAAGAUGCAGAUAAAAUUUACCUAACCAAACCAUACUUUAAAAAACCUAACUUUGGCAAAACUAACGGAACCAUACCUUUUCUAGACUAACCUACUUAUCUUAACCUAUCCUAUCAUGGUCGAACCCAGUCUAAUUUAACCCACAACCCACCUCACAUAAACAAAGACAAUAUUUAUUGCUAAAAAAUUUCUCUUUUUUAUUCCUAUUUAAGAAUAGUAGUACUGACAUUUGUUCAUGCAAAGUCAUUCAAAUUCCGCUGUGAUUUGGUCUGUUCGUUAGGCUCACUUAUUUUUUUCCAUUCUUGCCCGUCUGCAAUACAGUAAGAAACCAUUAAAAAAUGAUUCUUCAAACCAAUUUUCGCCAAAAUAUUUAAAUUACAAUUAGACAGGUAAUAGUCGAUAAUCGGACUGUCUAUGGACGACAUCAAAGUGAUCAAAUUGUUAAGCUCGACAGUUGGUCGUUUCCCAUUUGAUAUUCAGAAUACUCACUAACUUGGCGUUGCAUUGUAGACCUUUAGACCUUAGCGAUCAGCAUUUUCUGGUAAGACAUUUGUUAUGAGCUUUGGCGGGUUUCUGAUGCUUUGCACAAAUUUCUGGUAGCUGAUAUUGUUGUUUUGGUGGUUCAAGAACCUUUAAAAUCUUGAAAAAAAAAUAGAAAAGAAAUUCAAUGUUAACUAAGAUUAUACCAGAAAGCGACCUAAAACAUAAAAGAUAAUGAAUGACAGAUUUGAAUCAAUGAUGGAUUAAAGCUUUAAAGUAAUGGGAAAUUAACUAAUGUGAUACACUUUGUUUGUCUGAAUAAGUUGAUCUAGAUGAUGAUCUAGGAUAAUACCGACAUCUCAGUGAUCAAUAGACCUUUAGACCUUAGUUAUCUGAAUCUUCUAGCAAAACAUUUUUUGUCGCGGAGGGUUUCUAAUGCUUUCAACAAAAUUUUGGUCGUUGAUAUUGUUGUUUUGUAGGUUUUAGAACCCGAAGUUCUCAUUUUUUAAAGGCUGAUAGAUUUGCCUUAAGACGCUGAAUAUGUGGAUUUGGACAGUGUUGAUGAGUUUUAUUUGUGUUUUUUUUGUCAUAAUUAAGUUAUUAUCAUUUUAUUUCCUUGUUACAAAUAUUUUGACGACGAUGUUUCAGAUUCUGCAGAUGCUAAGGAUCUCUUAACUGAAUCUUCUUAUUAUAUGUUAAAUUGUUAUACGAUUCCAUACUUUAAUAUCCAUACUCAUUUUGAAAAUAUAUUUUUAGCGACAAGCGCGAGCAGCUAAACUGGUCGAAGAGGCCAAAGUGGGCGCAAAAUCUAAUACACCGAUGAAGUGCGCUAUACUCAGAUAGAGUUGCUUAAACCCAAGCAAAGAAAACCCUCAGUAAGAAUUGCCGGUCAAAAUAGAAAAAAAGGAAAUAAAUUUAAGGUAACUUUUAUUAGAAAAUAAGGUAUUUAAUUAUUCUUUCGUGUUGCUAUUAAUCACUCUGUUGCUUAAUUGCAGGGGUUUACAGCUUAACCGAAAUAUUAUUGAUGCACAGAUCGAGUAUCUGAUUCACCAAAUCGAGGACCUUAAGUUUUUUUCCCGUUAAAUUAAUUUCUUAUUUAUUUUGUGUUUUUUUAAUCAUAGAUAAGGAAGACUGGUUGAUUAUGUCCUAUCGAGGAGAAAGAAUUAAUUUCUAUUUUGGAUACCCAAGAAAAACUUUUUAAGAUCCUCCCCAAGAAAGGGGACAGAAGAGUAACUUUUUUUUUGUUUUUCCCAGCAGUUUGAUUCUCAUAAAAAGCCUUAGAAGGGCGGAGAAUCAAAAUGUCGAGGAGAAAGAAUUAAUUUCUAACUAUAAAUUCAGCCUGCAUGUAGAUAAUCCGCAGUUACUUCUAAACAUUUCUCAAAGGUGGAUAUCUGAGGUUGAAAAAAAAUGUCCUUAAGUUCCAUAGAAGUUGUAGGGAACAAAAAGGAUCUUAGAAAUGACCGGGCAACCCUUUUAAGUCAGCUUACAAUGCAAAUUUCAAUUUUUUCCAAUUCCAAUUUUUCUAUGAAUGUCAAUUACAGAAUCAAUCCGAGUUAAGCCAGAAGAGAGCCUUGGGGUGAAAAAUGCAGGAUAUUCCAUAAUCCCCUUAUUCAAUUGUUAGAUUAGUGAGUCUAAAACGAUCUCCGGUUAACUAAUUGUAUUAGAAUCGAGAGACGGGAAACAAAGCUUACGACCGCGAGCUAAGACGAAAGGAGACUGCCCUUCUUUCUGCUCGCUUCCUUCAAGUCCCGACGCUUGCGAGUCGCACGACAUCUAGCGGUCGUGGAAAAAAUGAUACGAUGACACAACAUCUAUUUCAACGAAAUGAAUGAAUUGUAAUCAUUUAAUGGAAUCUUUUGUUGCGUUAUGCUAACCAGUGCUGCCACAAUCGCGAUUCAUAAAUAAUCGUGAUCAAAAUUUCGAUCAAAUAUUUAAUCGAAAAUCACAUCUUUUUAAAAUGAUCUUAAUUGCGUUCAGAAGGCCAAAAAAUCAUUUUUGAUAAAUUUUUGUUAUCGAUCAUUUUGUGACCCCUUUCCCUUAAAAUGUGGGAGUUUUUGUAACUUUCCCCGUCUUUCUUAUCUCUUUGUCAUUUCGCACAUUUCACCCCUCUAUACCUAUAAAAACCUCAACAAACUUUUACCUUCUAUUGAUAGAUUUCACUAAAUUAUCGA